rnacentral:lncRNA from 1 species
AUGUUUGCUUUUCUGCGUUUAUUUCAAUCUUUGGCAUAAAGAAUGGAAGAUUAGAGACCAUUAAAAGAAGCCUUUUAACUAAAGGUCACUCUCCCCGUGAUAGAAGAGGUAAACACAAGAAUCAGUAUAACAAUUUUACUCCUUAACUAAAAAAUAAAAUAUGUGAUCACAUUUCUUCUUUCAGAGGUAGGUACCAAGAUCUAUUAAUUAUAACCAAGAUGAAUGACUUGUUUAAAAUCAAGUAUG